AGGACGAACGCUGGCGGCGUGCUUAACACAUGCAAGUCGAGCGGAAAGGCCCUUCGGGGUACUCGAGCGGCGAACGGGUGAGUAACACGUGGGCAACCUGCCCUUAGCUCUGGGAUAGCUCCGGGAAACCGGAAUUAAUACCGGAUAUGACCUAGGCCGACAUCGGCUGUGGUGGAAAGUUUUUCGGCUAGGGAUGGACUCGCGGCCUAUCAGCUAGUUGGUGGGGUAAUGGCCUACCAAGGCGACGACGGGUAGCCGGUCUGAGAGGGCGACCGGCCACACUGGGACUGAGACACGGCCCAGACUCCUACGGGAGGCAGCAGUGGGAAUCUUGCGCAAUGGGCGAAAGCCUAACGCAGCGACGCCGCGUGGGGGAUGAAGGCCUUCGGGUGUAACCCCUUUCAGCAGGACGAAGCGAAAGUGACGGUACCUGCAGAAGAAGCGCCGGCUAACUACGUGCCAGCAGCCGC
rnacentral:rRNA from 1 species